GACGAACGCUGGCGGCGUGCCUAAUACAUGCAAGUAGAACGCAGUUGCGAACGGGUGAGUAACGCGUAGGUAACUGCCUGGUAGCGGGGGGUAACUAUUUGGAAAGAUAGCUAAUAACGCAUACUAACAGAUGGACAUGCGUUGUAUUGGGUGGUUGGUGGGGUAACGGCUUACCAAGGCGACGAUACAUAGCCGACCUGGGAGGGUGGUCGGCCACACUGGGACUGAGACACGGCCCAGACUCCUACGGGAGGCAGCAGUAGGGAAUCUUCGGCAAUGGACGGAAGUCUGACCGAGCAACGCCGCGUGAGUGAAGAAGGUUUUCGGAUCGUAAAGCUCUGUUGUAAGAGAAGCGGUAUCUUACCAGAAAGGGACGGCUAACUACGUGCCAGCAGCCGCGGUAAUUC
rnacentral:rRNA from 1 species